UACGGGGGAUGCGAGCGUUGUCCGGAAUCAUUGGGCGUAAAGAGUUCGUAGGUGGCACGUUAAGUCUGGUGUUAAAUGCAGAGGCUCAACUUCUGUUUGGCACUGGAUACUGGCGAGCUUGAAUGCGGUAGAGGUAAAGGGAAUUCCUGGUGUAGCGGUGAAAUGCGUAGAUAUCAGGAGGAACAUCGGUGGCGUAAGCGCUUUACUGGGCCGUAAUUGACACUGAGGAACGAAAGCCAGGGUAG
rnacentral:rRNA from 1 species